UACGGGGGGGGCAAGCGUUGUUCGGAAUUACUGGGCGUAAAGGGCUCGUAGGCGGCCAACUAAGUCGGACGUGAAAUCCCUCGGCUUAACCGGGGAACUGCUUCCGAUACUAGAUGGCUAGAGUGUGGGAGAGGGAUGCGGAAUUCCAGGUGUAGCGGUGAAAUGCGUAGAUAUCUGGAGGAACACCGGUGGCGAGGGCGGCAUCCUGGACCACGACUGGCGCUGAGUGAGCGAAAGCCAGGGGAGCAAACGGG
rnacentral:rRNA from 1 species